ACUUCAGUAUCAGCUCGAUAGAGCAAAAGAGAGAGAGGACGAGAGAGGGGGGUGAGGAGAAAAGAGAGAGAGAGCGCGAGAGGGAGAGGGAGAGAAGGAGGGGUGGGAAUUACACAAAGAGAGAACCAAAAAUAAUUUUGAUUCCUAAGUUAAUUUGCUCACUGAUCUGGGAUUUUAGUCACCAUGGAGGGUAAAUGGACAAUCUGCCCAGGACUGCAGCCCGAUACUAUUUUUCAAAGCCAGAACUUACUCCAUUUUCUAUGCAAAUGUCAGAAAAAUGAAACACCCUCUCUCCCAAGUCAGAGAAGGGGAAGCAACGGCUCUCACGUUGGGACAAUAUUAUCUGGAAGCUGAAGAAGAAACUGAAUACUCCUUCCUUCCUCCCUCCCUACCCAUUCCUUUAAAUCCGGAGGGGGAAAAAAUCCCAAGGUCUGCAAAGCAAAUCUCCUUGGACCGGCUGUUGGGGGAAAAA
rnacentral:sRNA from 1 species